rnacentral:rRNA from 1 species
UAAGGAAUAUUGGUCAAUGGACGAAAGUCUGAACCAGCCAUGCCGCGUGGAGGAUGAAGGUCCUCUGGAUUGUAAACUUCUUUUAUCUGGGACGAAAAAAGGUCUUUCUAGAUCGUCUGACGGUACCAGAUGAAUAAGCACCGGCUAACUCCGUGCCAGCAGCCGCGGUAAUACGGAGGGUGCAAGCGUUAUCCGGAUUCACUGGGUUUAAAGGGUGCGUAGGUGGGUUGGUAAGUCAGUGGUGAAAUCUUCGAGCUUAACUCGGAAACUGCCAUUGAUACUAUCAGUCUUGAAUAUUGUGGAGGUUAGCGGAAUAUGUCAUGUAGCGGUGAAAUGCUUAGAUAUGACAUAGAACACCAAUUGCGAAGGCAGCUGGCUACACAUAUAUUGACACUGAGGCACGAAAGCGUGGGGAUCAAAACAGGAUUAGAUACCCUGGUAGUCCACGCCCUAAACUAUGGAUACUCGACAUACGCGAUACACUGUGUGUGUCUGAGCGAAAGCAUUAAGUAUCCCCACCUGGGAAGUACGAUCGCAAGAUUGAAACUUAAAGGAA